GAGUUUGAUCCUGGCUCAGGAUGAACGCUAGCUACAGGCUUAACACAUGCAAGUCGAGGGGAAACGAUAGAGAAAGCUUGCUUUUUCUAGGCGUCGACCGGCGCACGGGUGAGUAACGCGUAUCCAACCUGCCCACCACUUGGGGAUAACCUUGCGAAAGUAAGACUAAUACCCAAUGAUAUCUCUAGAAGACAUCUGAAAGAGAUUAAAGAUUUAUCGGUGAUGGAUGGGGAUGCGUCUGAUUAGCUUGUUGGCGGGGUAACGGCCCACCAAGGCUACGAUCAGUAGGGGUUCUGAGAGGAAGGUCCCCCACAUUGGAACUGAGACACGGUCCAAACUCCUACGGGAGGCAGCAGUGAGGAAUAUUGGUCAAUGGACGAGAGUCUGAACCAGCCAAGUAGCGUGCAGGAUGACGGCCCUAUGGGUUGUAAACUGCUUUUAUAAGGGAAUAAAGUGAGAGUCGUGACUCUUUUUGCAUGUACCUUAUGAAUAAGGACCGGCUAAUUCCGUGCCAGCAGUCGCGGUAAUACGGAAGGUCCGGGCGUUAUCCGGAUUUAUUGGGUUUAAAGGGAGCGUAGGCCGGAGAUUAAGCGUGUUGUGAAAUGUAGACGCUCAACGUCUGCACUGCAGCGCGAACUGGUUUCCUUGAGUACGCACAAAGUGGGCGGAAUUCGUGGUGUAGCGGUGAAAUGCUUAGAUAUCACGAAGAACUCCGAUUGCGAAGGCAGCUCACUGGAGCGCAACUGACGCUGAAGCUCGAAAGUGCGGGUAUCGAACAGGAUUAGAUACCCUGGUAGUCCGCACGGUAAACGAUGGAUGCCCGCUGUUGGUCUGAAUAGGUCAGCGGCCAAGCGAAAGCAUUAAGCAUCCCACCUGGGGAGUACGCCGGCAACGGUG
rnacentral:rRNA from 1 species